UGGUGGCCGCCGCCUAAUCGCCUGCGGGCGAGCCGGGGAACCAUGUUUGUGGGGUGCAUCCGCUCCAGCGGUAGGGAUCUUCCGUCCCGAACCCGUCAGCUAACCCGGUCGGCGGCUGACGGAAGGACAC
rfam:Micromonospora carbonacea strain JXNT-1 contig3, whole genome shotgun sequence.